rnacentral:rRNA from 1 species
CCCUAGUAACUGCGAGUGAAGCGGGAAAAGCUCAAAUUUAAAAUCUGGUGGUCCUUGUGGCUGUCCGAGUUGUAAUCUAGAGAAGUGUUAUCCGCGCUGAACCGUGUACAAGUCUCCUGGAAUGGAGCGUCAUAGAGGGUGAGAAUCCCGUCUUUGACACGGACUGCCAGGGCUUUGUGAUGCACUCUCAAAGAGUCGAGUUGUUUGGGAAUGCAGCUCAAAAUGGGUGGUAAAUUCCAUCUAAAGCUAAAUAUUGGCGAGAGACCGAUAGCGAACAAGUACCGUGAGGGAAAGAUGAAAAGAACUUUGGAAAGAGAGUUAAACAGUACGUGAAAUUGUUGAAAGGGAAACGCUUGAAGUCAGUCGCGUUGGCCAGGGAUCAACCUUGCUUUUUUGCUGGGCGUAUUUUCUGGUUGACGGGUCAGCAUCAAUUUUGACUGUUGGAUAAAGGUUGAGGAAAUGUGGCAUCUUUGGAUGUGUUAUAGUCCUUGAUUGCAUACAACAGUUGGGAUUGAGGAACUCAGCACGCCGAAAGGCUGGGUGUUUACACUACAUACGUGCUUAGGAUGCUGGCAUAAUGGCUUUAAUCGACCCGUCUUGAAACACGGACCAAGGAGUCUAACAUGCCUGCGAGUAUUUGGGUGGAAAACCCAGAUGCGCAAUGAAAGUGAUAGUUGAGAUCCCUGUCGUGGGGAGCAUCGACGCCCGGACUUGAAGUUUACUGACGGUUCCGCGGUAGAGCAUGUAUGUUGGGACCCGAAAGAUGGUGAACUAUGCCUGAAUAGGGUGAAGCCAGAGGAAACUCUGGUGGAGGCUCGUAGCGAUUCUGACGUGCAAAUCGAUCGUCAAAUUUGGGUAUAGGGGCGAAAGACUAAUCGAACCAUCUAGUAGCUGGUUCCUGCC